AGCUAAGCCACAUCCAGGCUCCUUGCUGUCUCCUUGCUCACACAGCAAAUACUGUUUCACUUUCUAAACAGCCCUCAGUUCUCUCAGACACUGAUAGGACGUAGCCAGAUGAACACCGUUGGAUGCUGGUAGGCAGAGGCAGAAUGUAUUUUUCCUCUCCAAAAAUUAAGCCCAACCACAUAGUUUCAUAGCAAAGCACGGGUAUCUAUCUAGUUACAGAUAAAACUUUUCCCAAAGCCCAGUUGGAUGUCAUGUCAUAGGCCCUAGCCAUUCUGUAACUCUUUCCCCCCCAAAAAUUAAUAGACAUCCUAGUUAUCAAAUAAUUUCUGCUUCUUCUAUGCUGCAGGAACAUGUGACUGUAAUCUGUAUAUAUCUAUACUCCAGAAUUCUGCAUCGAUUGAGGUGUGCCACAUACAUGCAAAUGCUACAAAAUAUGUAUCAGAGAUGAAACUAUGUGGAUAAAGUUCUUUUAUAUAACUUUAUUUGAAAUUUAUCUCUCCUCCAUAAAUAGUAACCUAUCAUGUCCUAUAUAUACUUCUAAAAUCUGUAUCAGGACAUCUGCUUUGGUUCCUGAUACCAAACAAGUUAUUCUUAACAUUCCCUGUUGACCAGACAUCUUGUCUUCUAAUGACAUGAAAACAUUGAGAGUAGAGAAAAUGUUAGCAAGUUUGUGACAAGUGAUAAUUUGUACAUUAAAAAUCCCAGUGAAUGUGCCUUGUAUAGGAGUCACAGUGUAUAAAAACAGUCUCCUGGGUUAAUUCUGCUUGUUGCAGAAACAUUCUGAAAUAUCAGUUUCCUGCAGCACAUGCAAUUAUUUAAAACAAACUUUUCCGACAUGGUACCUUCCAGAUAUUUGAGACUGAAAUUGAUAAUCUCCAUGGUCAAGCAAUGGUGGCUGAAAAUUCUGAUUUUUUUCUACCCCCUAUCCUAUAUGGACUAUGUAAACUAUAAAAUUAAUAAGAUGAAACAGCUUUUUUCAUCUAAUGAUAUAUACAAACUUUCUCUGAAGUAAUGGAAUAGGAUAGCAAUUUUUUUUCUCUUCCUCCAGAUUCUUUGCUUUUCUCUACAUUUAGCUCACCUCCUAGUUUUACAUAGGCCAAAAGUUCUGUAAUUGUUUUCUAGCAAAGAGAAAGUAUCAAACAUCAACAUAAGUAGUUUCAGUGUUGAUACUGUACUACUAAAUGACCUUGUUCUCUUGGAAUAAAGUUUAGGGAAGUAGACCUUUAUACUUUUCCCCAGGUUUUUAUUCCCCACCCUCACCUGUGAGAUUCAUUCUUUGGGUCUACUGGAGCAAAUUGUAUUUUUAAUACCAUCCCACAAGCCACUAAUCUUUCUAGAAUAACAAAUGAAAGGAAUCGGGAUCAAAGGGAUCUAGGAAGCAAAGUUGCUUCUGUAUAAACAAUGCCAUCCAAUGUCAAGCCACUUACUUUCUCCUGCCAGCUUACUGGUGUGAAUUAAAUUUGAUUUUCCAGAAUUAGACAUGGUAUAAUCAAAAGUAGGAGGAGAAUAAGGAGAGUAAGAUGGAUAAUAGAGUAAAGGGAAGAUUAGAAGAACUUCACGGUUUUCCUUUCCAGCUACGGAAAAUCUACUUAAAAGAGAUCAUAAUGCUGACUGGGGUCUUUUCUUUAUUUCUAUCUAUCAUGCUCCACCAGUUGCAAUUUUAAUGAAAACAAGAAGAAGCAACACAGUAGAUCUGAAAGCAAUAAUAUUUUCCUCAAUUCUUUUGUCUACCAAAGAUCAUGCUGACAUUCUGGCUGUAGAAUUAAUAAAACCAACAGUUGGCUUCUACUUUUAUGACUGCCCGGAAAGAUAAAUGCGCAAAUGAUAAUUGUUACAUGGUCAGAUAAGAUUUUGGAGGGGAAUAAUUUUGUGUUAUUCUUGGCUUCUCUUUGAUAUAUAAAAUCCAACCAGUGAUUGUACACAGAGAGGUUUACAAAAUACUAAUCUUAAAUCUCAAUUACAUGACAAUAUUAUUACAUUCAAGUUAGCUUCCUGUCACUGGUUUGUGACUAACUUAACUACUGAAAAUCCACCCUUUGAGAUAUUUGAUAGAAAAUGGGAGGCUUCAUUUAUUUACAAUUUGCUUGGUUAUAACCAACCUCAGUUGAAAAUGACAGAUCUCAAAGUUGUGACUAUGUCAGCAAUGAGGGUGCUCCCUCAGUGUAGCAGGGGUUUAGAGUUUUGUUUGUUUUUUAGAAUCAGUGGCUUUUUCUUUAGCAGAAUUUUCUUUGCCCAAGGUAAAAUGCUUAUUACUUCAAAUUAUAAGACCUAAAACAUCUGUAUUCACCUGUAUUCACCUUCAGUGUAGAUUUCAGCUUAUGUUAGGUUAUGCAUCUGUUACUAAUGGGCAAUGUUUUGUACCCCAAUAUCUACAUGCAAAUAAUAAUAAUAAUAAUAAUAAUAAUAAUAAUAAUAAUAAUAGCAGCUCCCUUUUCCAUACUACCAAUAAUGAGCUGAUAUGAGAAAUUUGAAUAAUCUAGAACAGAGGUGUCAAACUCAUGUCAUCACGGCGGCAUCACGGGACAUAUCCGGACUUUUUUUCCCUUCACUAAACCAGGCAUGGGCGUGUGAUACAUGUGGCCCAUGGAAGUUCUAUUUAUGGAAAUAACCCACAAAUUUGUAAAAAUAGGAAAAUGCAAAUGUUAGUUUUACAAUUAUGUGAUAUUUAAUAUGAACAGGAAAAUGGAGAAUAUGAAUUAAGAUUAUUGCAAUGGUAGAAAUGUUUUGGGAAUAUAAUUUUAAUUGUAUUGUUUUGAAUAUCAUAAUAUUCCACUUUUAGUUUAUGGUGGGUGAUUCAACACUAAGGUUGUUUUUAUGUAAUGGAACUUUUUCAUAGUUCAACAUCUCUACUUUAUUUAAUUUUCUUCAGAUGUGUUAGAUGACAUAUCCUAUAAUUCUUUAAUAGUUUAUUUUAGAUAUGACUAGGUGGGGUAAAUUGUCCUUUCAAAGCCUUUGGAUUAGUUGGCUAGAAGUUAUUAAAUGAAACAAAUGAAAGCUUUUGUUCAUUAAAUCAAGAAAUUUCUUACAUUUUAAAGGAAAUAUUUUGCUUGUACGUACUUAUUUGACAAUCUAGUUUUGCUUUAUAAGUGCAGGCAAAAAAAGUUCCUACAUGCAUCAAUAACCCAGGAUGACUAUAUGAACUGUCUACUGAACAACAUUGUGUCUAUAAUUGUUGGAAAAUUUUGCGUAUUGUGACCGUCUCUUGAUGAAAUAUCUAUUAGUGAAAUUCAUGUUCACGCAUCAUUGCCAUUAGCUGAAGAGGGUGCAAAUGCAAAUGAAUUGUGUGCUAGCACUAUAAUUUGUGAAAGAACAUGCUACAGUUAUUUUACUAAAAGCUAUGUCUCAUCAAGAGAGGGUACCUCCAUCAGUUCUUCUAGGGAAAACCAUGGUUCCCAGUAGUCCAAAGAAUUUCUCAGCCUUGGUCAUUUUAAAACACGUGGAUUUCAACUCCCAGAAAUCCUCAGCCAGUGUGCUGACUGUUGAAUUCUGGGAACUGAAGUUCACUUAUCAUAGAGAAGCUAAGGUUGAGAAACAUUGUCAUUGACAUACAUUGGAGCUGAUAACUUACCCUGUGCGUUCUGUUCCCCAUAUCUCUGGCAGAGAUAUGGCCUCAUCUAUUAAUUCUUCAACAUUCUCUGAAGUCCCCAUUGUGGCAUAGCUUUGCUGUAAUUGGCUGUCUAUAACUUGAUUAUUGAGACUUCUGCAUUGCAAAAUCAAGGGGUUGUGUUGAGGAGCAAGAAGGCAUUACGCCAAGUUCUCCCAUAAGCCUCAGAUUAGUCCUGAUUUCAUUAGCAGCUGCAUGAAACAAUUGGGAGAUAACAUAUUUUUUACAAAUUGUAAUAUUCCUGUAACAUAAUGUAUUCUAUAAACAUGACAGAUCAGCAAGAAUGUACAGACCUAUUUGUUGACUUUCCCACUGCUUGUCCUGACAGUAGUAAUUUAUAGCUUUAUCCAGAACUGUCCUGUGUAUGCAUCAGUAUGUUUCUCUGCCUCUUGUUCUAACUUGACCUGCCAGUUAUUACCUUCAUGUUCUCACCUGAGCAACAGGUCUUGUCAGUUUCACUUACUCAGGUGGUAGCAAGAGAAAUAAUUAUUUUUGACGCCAUCAGCAAUAUGUUAUCUUGUCUGAAUCAAGAUGCUUCUAGCUUCUGUGCAAAAUAUGUUGAAAAGGAAAGUUCAACAUUCCUGGAUCUGGCUCAGCCAUCUUGCUGUUUCUAUUUCUGCUCCUAUGGACAGACUGGAAAUUAAAUGUUGCUGGAAGAAUCCUUUGAGCUAUGUAUUCAUUUUCCACUUAUUCGAAUGUAUUGUUCCUAUAAUUUAUGAAUCUCUGUUUGCAAAUACCAUAUAUAACCUAACUAUUUGCAUUAUUUUUCUUCCUUAGGUGAAACUGAAAUACAACUUUUAUUUUACCUUUUUAUAAGCAUAAUCUUUUGUUUUAGUUUUUUUCCCCUUUUUAAUUAACGGUCACUGGUCUAUAAAACAGGAUUGGUCAUUGUAUAUUUAAGCUAGAUUCAGCUAUUAUGUAAAAUUUGGCAUGUGAAAUAUAGCUAUCCAUCACUUUUCAAAGCAUUGUUCAAACUUGUCAAGGUAAUACAGUCACAUAAUGGAGGAGCCUGAGUUUCCAUCUCUGAAUUAGGAAACAGCUCCAUUAUUUCAGAAUUUUGACUGUGGUAUGAAUUCUAAUAUAACUUCUUACUUAUGCUGCAGCUUAUUGUUUCAAUAAUGUCCUUUUCCAGUUAUGUUUUGCUUUACUAACAGAAUAGAUAUUUGAUUCAAUGUACUCCUUUGCUGUGAGAUUUGUUCCAAUAAGUGUGAUAUUUUUACUAUCUGGUAGGUGAGCCUUUCUCAACCUGGUGCCCUUGGUAUAUGUGGGAUGUCAAAUCUCAUAAUCAUUAACACAGGCCCCGUCCUUGGUGUUUGGGAAUGAUGGGAAUUGCAGUCCAACCCCUCUGGAUUUUCAAGCCAGCAAUUAUGAUGAUCAAUCAAUUGUUAUCUUUCCUGGUGACCUUUGGAAGAUGAGAAGAAGCAGAAAGUACCAUAAAUUCAUUCAACUGUCCAAUAAGAGAAGGCAGAAGUUGGCAUUCAGCUACUGCCCUCUGACAAUGUCAUAGCAGCUUCUGGAAAACCAUCCUUCUUGCCCAUGUCUCCAUCCAGAAAGAAAUAAAAAUAACUUCUUGUUUCUGAUAAAUGUGGUAUUCACUUGGCAAAUUUAUGAACUUUCUGAUCAUCAAGACUUCACAUUUCUUGCCAAUAAAUUCUCAUUGAAAGUUGUGAUGAGGGCAGGACACUGCAGUGUUGCAACUGGAAACUUUUUCAACAGCUUCAGCACACCACCAUUAUCUAUGCUUGGAGGGAUGCAGAGAGAGAAAUGACUCACUUAAGACCAAAGGCCAGGAGAUGGGGUAAAGCAAAAUUUUACAUAGACUGCUUAUAUAAGCACGGAAAAUCAAGCCAGUUUCUUACCAAAUUGUGAAAUUUGCUACAAGAAUAUGACUGAAUUUGUUCCUAAGGUGUUUGUAAAAACCUACUGGAGUACUCCAUGGAAGAUGGGGUAAGUCAAGAGAACCCGAAAAUGAGAAAGCAGUACUUAUCACUCUGCAGAACCCAGCAGCAUCACAGAUUUAAAAAUAUGGUUUGUCAAUGCCAAAAGCUGUGCUCUUACUGAACCAAAAGAAACCUUAAAUGUGAAGGUGGAAGUUGGCCUCCAAUCCAUUUUAAUUUUGGCCUGUAUUGUUUUUUUGUAAUAAAUGCACUAGCAUGAAGCCUGAAAUUUUAUUCCAAUCAGAAUGGAAUAAUGAGAGAGAGUGGGAUUCAGCUGAAUACUCAACAGUGUUCAUCUUUGUUUACUAAUUUUCUAUUUUGGUUCUGAUUCAGCAGUAGUUUUUGUUUUAACUUGGAUACUAGUUUAGACAGAAACAUUUUAAGUAUGAGCCAGCACUGUGCUGUUGCUGCCCAAAAAAAUAAUAAUGCAGUCCAUUAGGUUGCAUAGAGGAAUAGAUUCAGGAUCAUAUGAAGUGGCAGCACCAUUUUAUACUGCACUGGUAAGACCACACUUUAAAUACUGCAUCCAGUUUUGGUCACCAUGAUAUGAAAAGAUGUUAAGAAUCUAGAAAGAGUGCAGAGAAUAGCAGAAAAAUGAUCUACAGCAAGGGUGUCAAAUUCCCGUUGCCAUAGCAGCACAACAUGACAUAUUGGGACUUUCCCCCCAUUUCCUAAACCCAGUGUGGGCAUGGCCAUAUCCAUGGACAUAGGAUCUCCUAUUGAGCAGAGGGUUGGCCUAGCCUCUAUGGAUGGCUUCUACUUAAAAGAUAGUAUAUAUCAGCGCUGUCAAACCCUGCAGAUUGGAUGUGUCACAUACUGGUCAUACCUAUGUUCAGUUUAGCGAAGGAGGAAAAAGUCAUGAUAAAUCAUGGGGCGUUGCCAUGACACCCUGGCAUAUAUGAAAUUUGAUUGCAGCUGAUAGAAAUUGAAAACUCAGCCCUGGUAGCAUUAUGAGAUGAAAAUGCAUUUCAACUGUCUUUGCUUUUAUUUUUAACAAGACCCUGAUGGAUAAAAAACAAAAACAAGUAAAGUCCAAUAGUUGUGUUUUUGUUUAAUUCUCACUUUCUCCCUGUAAAGCAAGGGUCUUCAAACUUGGCAAGUUUAAGACAUGUGGAUUUCAAUUCCCAGAAUUCCUGAGCUAACAUGACUCGAGGAAUUCUGGGAGUUGAAGUCCCCAAGUCUUAAAGCUGUCAAGUUUGAAGAGCCUUGCUGUAAAGGAAUAGCUUCUGAAUUUAAUUCAAGGCCAUCAUCUGAGUCAGCCAGAUGUUCCUGUUUUCACUAAGUAGAUACCUGACCAGUCACUCUUUGAAUCACUUGAAAGUGAUAUUUUUUUAAUCAUUCAAUUUAACCUCCAGUUACUAUGUUAGCUUUACUAUUUCAUUUGAGGGUGGGGGUGGUGGGGAAAUCUGAGCUUGAGGUCAAGAAAAUGGAGGCAGGAAGACUAUUAUUGGAUCCAGAGCGCUUCACUUCCAUUUCUUCUGACCUUCAACUCUAAUUGCCUUGCUGUGAUAUGAAUGGCAUAUUUAGGGAAACGGAAAAUAUUCCCCACAUUUCUGCCAGCUGUCAGUUACUUGUAAUGUAUAUGGAAUAGUCUGGAGACUUAUUUAAUAAACUACCUGGUUACAUCUGUAUCACAAAUAGAGUUCGUGUUAAGUUAUAAUUCAAAAAGGUUAAGCUGGUAACUGGAAUGGUGAAAUUGAAGCGCUGUCCAUUAU